CCUACGGGAGGCUGCAGUGGGGACUAUUGCACAAUGGGGGAAACCCUGCUGCAGCGACGCCGCGUGAGUGAAGAAGUAAUUAGUUAUGUACAGCUCUAUCAGCAGGGAAGAAAAUGACGGUACCUGAGUAAGAAGCGCCGGCUAACUACGUGCCAGCAGCCGCGGUCAUACGUAGGGGGCAAGCGUUAUCCAGAUUUACUGGGGGUAAAGGGAGCGUAGACGGCAGUGCAAGUCUGGAGGGAAAGGCGGGGGCUCAACCCCCGGACUGCCCUGGAAACUGUACGGCUGGAGUGCAGGAGAGGUAAGUGGAAUUCCUAGUGUAGCGGUGAAAUGCGUAGAUAUUAGGAGGAACACCAGUGGCGAAGGCGGCUUACUGGACUGUAACUGACGUUGAGGCUCGAAAGCGUGGGGAGCAAACAGGAUUAGAUACCCUUGUAGUC
rnacentral:rRNA from 1 species